GACGAACGCUGGCGGCGCGCUUAACACAUGCAAGUCGAGCGAGAACCGAGGCUUCGGCCUCGGGGACAGCGGCGAACGGGUGAAUAACACGUGGACAACCUGCCCUCGGCCCCGGGAUAGCCCGGGGAAACCCGGAUUAAUACCGGAUGGCCCUUCCGGCUUCAGAGCCGGUCGGAAAAGGUAGCUUCGGCCUCCGGCCGAGGAGGGGUCCGCGGCGGAUUAGCUUGUUGGUGGGGUAACGGCUCACCAAGGCUCCGAUCCGUAGCUGGUCUGAGAGGACGAUCAGCCACACUGGGACUGAGACACGGCCCAGACUCCUACGGGAGGCAGCAGUGGGGAAUCUUGCGCAAUGGGCGAAAGCCUGACGCAGCGACGCCGCGUGAGGGAAGAAGGCCUUCGGGUUGUAAACCUCUUUCAGCAGGGACGAAGCUACUCGGGUGAACAGCCCAGAGGGUGACGGUACCUGUAGAAGAAGCCCCGGCUAACUACAUGCCAGCAGCCGCGGUAAGAC
rnacentral:rRNA from 1 species